rnacentral:rRNA from 1 species
GUGCCAGCCGCCGCGGUAAUACCGGCAGCUCAAGUGAUGUCCCAUAUUAUUGGGCCUAAAGCGUCCGUAGCUGGGUCUGAAAGUCCAUCGGGAAAUCCACCCGCCCAACGGGUGGGCGUCCGGUAGAAACUGGCCGGCUUGGAACCGGAAGGCUCAGAGAGUACGUCCGGGGUAGGAGUGAAAUCCCGUAAUCCCGGACGGACUACCGAUGGCGAAAGCACUCUGAGAAGACGGCUUCGACAGUGAGGGACGAAAGCUCGGGUCUCAAACCGGAUUAGAUACCCGGGUAGUCC